GAGUUUGAUCCUGGCUCAGGAUGAACGCUGGCGGCGUGCCUAAUACAUGCAAGUCGAGCGAACAGACGAGGAGCUUGCUCCUCUGACGUUAGCGGCGGACGGGUGAGUAACACGUGGAUAACCUACCUAUAAGACUGGGAUAACUUCGGGAAACCGGAGCUAAUACCGAAUAAUAUAUUGAACCGCAUGGUUCAAUAGUGAAAAACGGUUUUGCUGUCACUUAUAGAUGGAUCCGCGCCGCAUUAGCUAGUUGGUAGGGUAACGGCUUACCAAGGCGACGAUGCGUAGCCGACCUGAGAGGGUGAUCGGCCACACUGGAACUGAGACACGGUCCAGACUCCUACGGGAGGCAGCAGUAGGGAAUCUUCCGCAAUGGGCGAAAGCCUGACGGAGCAACGCCGCGUGAGUGAUGAAGGUCUUCGGAUCGUAAAACUCUGUUAUUAGGGAAGAACAAAUGUGUAAGUAACUAUGCACGUCUUGACGGUACCUAAUCAGAAAGCCACGGCUAACUACGUGCCAGCCG
rnacentral:rRNA from 1 species